rnacentral:rRNA from 1 species
CCUACGGGAGGCAGCAGUGAGGAAUAUUGGUCAAUGGACGAGAGUCUGAACCAGCCAAGUAGCGUGAAGGAUGACUGCCCUAUGGGUUGUAAACUUCUUUUAUAUGGGAAUAAAAUGUUCCACGUGUGGGAUUUUGUAUGUACCAUAUGAAUAAGGAUCGGCUAACUCCGUGCCAGCAGCCGCGGGAAUACGGAGGAUCCGAGCGUUAUCCGGAUUUAUUGGGUUUAAAGGGAGCGUAGGUGGAUUGUUAAGUCAGUUGUGAAAGUUUGCGGCUCAACCGGAAAAUUGCAGUUGAAACUGGCAGUCUUGAGUACAGUAGAGGUGGGCGGAAUUCGUGGUGUAGCGGUGAAAUGCGUAGAUAUCACGAAGAACUCCGAUUGCGAAGGCAGUUCACUGGACUGCAACUGACACUGAGGCUCGAAAGUGUGGGUAUCAAACAGGAUUAGAUACCCCUGUAGUC